rnacentral:misc_RNA from 1 species
CAGCGUCACCACGAGGCAGCCCGUGCUUACCGACCCACCCACUCGCUUCCACACGCACACAUAAACAGAGAGAAAGAGGCGCACAUUAGCCCGAGAAUUAGAAACUGAAAGCACCGCCGUCAGCGCGUGCCAUCUCCAUCACGGCGUGGAGAGAGACAUACAGAGGAGCGAAGCAGCCUUUCCCUCCCCCUCCUUCUGUGGGCGUGCGUGCCCUCCAGCGUGUUUGAGCGCAGAGCCCAUACCAACGAGAACGCCAUUGAAGGCGUCAAGGACGGCCGCUGCUGUUAUCCAGUGAAGGACACGUACAUACGCAUGUAUGCACAUAAAUAGAGGCUAAGGGUGCACCCCCUUCCUUUACCCCCAGAUCGUCUAGUGAUGAUGCAGGAACAGCAGCAUCCACGUCCUCGAGGCACUCGCGGUACCUCAGAGGGUGUUUACGUGAGCUCGGGCGUCAGUAUGGCUCACCAUGCGUCCCGUGCACUCCUCCGCAGGCGCCUCGGAGCAGGGAAGCGCUCUCGCGCCAUCGCGGGCGCCCUUCUGGCGCUCUUUUUCUUCAUCUACUUCCUCGCUUACCGCAUGAGAGGUGGCACAUUAAUUGAGGAUCUGGAAGUGCGUGGCGAUGGGAUCAAUAAGCAAGGAGGUCCCAACUACACGAGUGUCACUGAGCCGUCUUCCGCGACAACAGUUGCUGCUGUUGCCACCACCACGGAAGCGCCGUUCCUUUCUCCGACUUCCACCGAACCACCCGCUCGAUCUCAGGUGUCGCCAACGAUGACGACCACAAUCUCUGCUCCACCUGCCCUACCUCCCGCAACGGGUUACAAGAACACCCUAGACUCACAGGAUCGGCGAACGGCGCGGCCAGCGCCCGUUUUCGAAGACGCCGCGAGGCAGUACGAAGAGGGCGAGUACGUCCCAGAGGAGCCGCACCUCCUGCCUGGGCUGCAGAUCCAGCGACGCACCUUCACGCCGGCGGAGCUGCUUGAGCGCUUCGGCGACACGGACAUCAUCUACAGCUUCGUCAACGGCAGCGAGGCGAACCACUGCUACCGCAAAGUCAUGUCGAUGUGGUGCUUACCAAAAAUACGGCACCUGGAAAACGCGACGUACUGGGAGGGCGGUCGCCUCCCUCCUGCGUGGCAGAGCAUGAUGGCGAGCAACACGCCGACGUGCCUGCCUCCCUACCUGCGAAAUGCGUACGCCAACAUUCACUCGACGCGCGACUUCGUCGCCAUGGUGGCGGGUAACGCACGGCCUGGCAUUGGCGAUCGCGAGACGGACGAGCUGCGGCACAGCCUGCGCAGCGUGGAGCAGCACGUGCGGUGGCACCGCGGCCGCGUGGUGAUGGUGUCGCCCGGGCACCACCCGACGUGGGUGGACGGCGCGAAGAACUUCCUUGCUGGGAUGUGCGGCGGUGCGCGCGUGCAGGCGCUGCGGUCGAGCGGGACGCACCUGCGCGUGACGACUGUGCACCAGGACGCCGUGAUGCCGUACGGGAUGCGGCUGACGGUGGACUCGCACGUGAUCGAGCAGCACCUGUGGCGCGUGCGCAACAUGACACCCGUGCACGUGUACAUGAACGACGACUACUUUGUGAACCGCGACGUUGCGAUCACGGACCUGUUCAACGAGUACGGCGGCACGAUUGUGCGGACGGAGAGGGGCAUCCUGCAGAAGGGCGUUCUGGGGCCACCUUCCGGCGGCACCUGGUCGGAAGGUGUUCGUAACACACACUUGUUCAACAUCAUGGAGCUGGACGUGCUGCGCGAGGACUACCUGCCGGAGGCCCUCGAGCGGCAGUGGUCUGCUGAACGGGUGCAGCGUGGGGCCUCUGGCGCGGGCGACCGAGUGCCGCCGAUAGCGCUGAAUGACAUGGUCGAUGCUGCGUACGCGCACGUUCCUGCGUCCAUGCCGCCGACGGCACUGCCGCGUCGCCAUCGCCGAUACGCCACCCACGCGCCGUUCGUGUACUGCACGAACAUGCACCGGUUCCUGCAGACGCGGUACGCGGCGGAGUUUGCCUACAACUCCCUGCAUCACCGAAGGCGAAGCGCCCGAGACCUCUAUGUCCCGUUUGUGUACAACGCCUUUAUCAUGGCGCGGCCGUGGCAGGCGUCGCCGAAGUUCCUGCCGUACCUGCUGGAGCUGCACCGGAGCCGACGACAGGGGCGGGCGGACGCGAUGCCGCCGACGGAGAUCGUGCUGGACAACGUCGACGGCUGCGGCCCCGCAUCGCUUCGCGGCGGCUUUAUGGCCUCCGAGUGCGUGUUUGCCAAGUUCCUAGAUAACACGACUUCGAACGAGGCGGUGGUGGAGCGCGUGCGGCAGGUGAACCCGCUGUACUUCAACAUCAACGCCGGGUUCAGCAGCGCGGAGGCUGCGGACCAGCUGCGCCGCUUCCUGCACGGCAAGUUUCCGACUCCGGUGUACCUGGAGGUGGGCGGAGCCCCGCCCCCCGGCGAGGGCCUCGUAGACGGCGCGGGGGAGGUGGUGGGCGGCAGGACGAGGGCUGCCGGGGCCGCCGCGGCUGCUGAGGAGGAAGCGCUGUCGAGGCUGUUUGGCGACCUGAUGGCGCUGCCGGUGGUGGGCGUUGUGUCGUAUGAGGAGGGCGUGUGCCCGCUUGUGCGGAGCCUUGCGCUUGCGUUCGCGGGGCACCACCGUGGCGGCGUGCGUGUGAGCGUGGAGCAGCACGGCGGCGCGGCGCUGCGUGAGGCGCGCGCUGCGCUUGGGCACCGCGUGGUGAGCGCGAUGCCUGCGCCUGCGUGCGCGUACAAGGAGCAGGUGAGCGUGGACCCCGCGGCACGGGGUGAGAGCGUUGCCGAGAUUGCCCGGCGCGCCAUGGGUGAAAUGCGGGGCGGCGUGGAGCUGCCGUCGACGUGCGGCGCCGGCGGCGCUGGGCUGCGCGUGCACGGGUUCGUGGUGGACGCGCGGACGCGCGGGGCGCCUGUGCAGAGCGCUGCUGCGCUGCGGGACGCGCUUGCGGUGCCUGCGCAGACGCUGUCGCUGGAGGACUUCCGCGCCGUUGCUGUUGGGCCGUCGGAGGGCGACGUGGUGCUGGUUGUGUCGCGCGAGGACGCGGAGGCGAAGGCGGUGCACUGGGUGAAUGGGGCGUCGGAGAGUGACCUGCUUGUGACGUACCCGCUGCCGGUGGAGGCGUACGAGGACAUGGGCGCGGAGGUGCGGUGGUCGGUGCCGUAGAGCGAUAUGCGGACGGGCUCUUGCGAGGUGCAGGGUUGUGGGGGCGGAGGUGCUGUGGGCGGGUGGCGGAGUGACGCAUAUUCCGUGCGCGUCGCGGCCGUGGCGUGCUGGGCGGUGUGCUGGAGAUGGCAAGCGGUGAUGCACAACGGAGCGUGUGUGAGCGGUGCGCCUCUCUCCCUUCAGCAACGCCCGCCUGCUGCUUGCAGCGGUGUUCAUAGGCGGCCUGACUCUCCCUCGCUCUCUGUGUGUGUGUGCUUGCGCCCCUCAUGCCCUUGAUCUGGCUCGCUCAGCGCUGGUGCUUGGCAAUGAUGCGGGGCGGUGUGGUGGCGCUGCCCCGCCCCCGCCGCUGAACUGGCAUGCGUGCUUUCGUGGCCGUUUUCCUUCUUUUCCCCGCGCCCUCUACGUCACACACUCGAUGAAGAAGGAUGCGGGCGGUGUCGCUGAGUCCUUGCGCCUGAGGUGGGCAUGGGCGGCAAUGAGACUGCGCAGUUGGCCGCGUUGGUGGGGGCGGACGGGUUGGCGAUGCGUGUGCGUGUGCGUCUCUCUUGUUGUUGUUGACACAUGUUUUCUUAGUUUUCUCAUCAUUCUCUUUUCCAGUGAUGUUUUUAUCUUUUCCGCCUUGUUUUGGGGUACAUGCUGAUCGGCGCACGCUCUCGGGAGCGUGCGUGCGUGUGCAGUGCCCUCCCUCGAAGUGGUCAACACGGCUGUGCUGUGGUGAAGAGGGCAGACGGGAGUGGAGGGGUAUCGCAGGAUGCUGAGGUCAGUUACGGGGGAGCGAGAGGCAGGCUGCAGGUGGCGGGUGGUGAUGUAUUCCCCUGAGGACGUGCACGCGCAGUACAAAGGCUACCGCCCUUUUCGCCCCUUCCUCUCUUCACCGCUGCCGUUCUGCCUCCGUGCCCCCCUCCCUCCCUUCCGUCACGCGGUUUCUUUCUGGUGCCGCUUGCGAGCUCGCCGCACCGAAUCCUCGCGCGGCGUCUUUGCCCUCCUUAUCGGCGCGCGCGUUGAUGGUCGUUUCCUUUUAUUUUUUCCCGUGUCUGCUCAUUGAUGCUGAGGGAUGGGGAGGGAGGGGGAGGGCGCCGCGGUGCGUGGUAUUUUACAUACACACACACGGGACAGCACCCCGCCCCCCGCCCCGUCCACUUGGUGUGUGUGUGUGGGAGGAUGCUGUGCAGGCACCCCCGCCCUUUUAUUCCCGGGCAAACGUCGCACCACUGCUGACGAAUGCCAGGGCCCAGGCACCCACGACGUGGCGAGGUCAGAGGGAUGUAUUGCUGCUGAUGUCGGCGGCCAGACCCUGGAGGGCGCUGCGUCGGAGCGACCUGCGACGACGCACACGUUGGCGCCGUCCACAUCAUGGGCGGGGUGUCGGCGUGACUCAGGUGUAUGCCACCCCCAGCCCUGACUGCCCUGCUGGUGGGGUGGGGGGAGCCUGAGGAGGAUGGAGUGGGCAGAACUUGCGGCAGGGGCGCUGCUGCGGUGACGGAUUCGGCGCACUGCUGUACCGCGCGUGUCUGGCGGCUGCCUCGCACGGGGUGACGAGGGCUUGUGACUGGAGCCACUGCGAAGGCAGCCGGACCAGCGUAGACGCUGAAAAAAGUGGUGUGGCAGUCGCUGCGGAGUCGCUCUCCCGUCUCACGGCAGUCGGCAGGGACCCUACGGAAGCGGUGGGUGGCAUGCGGCGACGUAUCUGGGCACCAAUCCGGACGCUGCUGGCGCGCUACGUGCGCUUCUGAUUUCCGUAAUCUUGUGUCCACUGUGAGGAGGAACACGGCGGCGAAGCUGACAAGCGUGCGAGGUCCGCAGUGUGAGAGGAGGCGACGCCCACCGCACGGAUCGCGGACCGGAACACCGGUCUCAACUUCCGGGCGGACAUCCCCUGCGUCCGCGAUGUGCUUAGCGUGACGCUGCGACACACAGGCGGCGUGGCUGCGACGGCCCGACACCAAAGAGGAAGGCUGCUGGGCUCGCGAUGUGACGGGAGGCCAUGCUCGCUCAGCUCCGCGCGGGCGUCUGUCUGUGCUUGGGACUCGUGCAGCGGUAGGUGGCUGGCGGUGACAGCAUGGCGUGCAGACAGUGUGCUGCCCGCCACGGCGCUAGAGCUGUGGUGCCUCCGCCCCCCGUCCCACAUAUUUGUCUCGCUCUGAGGACAUCCGACCUGGCGUUGUGCCCGAUAUGCCACGCGAGAUUCGUGGAUCGCUCGAGGCUGGAGGCACACAUCGUUUCGGGCAAUGAUCUAAUUACGGGAUUUCGCUCCUGCGGCACGGGCGCCUCCCGUUGGGUGUCUGUGGUUGCCUCCCUGUGCCCCUCUUCAGAUCGACAGACUGCGAGAUCGCUGUGCGCAGGCACAUGCUGAUGCACGGGACUCUUUCGCUUGACAGACCCUCUCCUGGGAAAGGCAUGUGGGUGGAGGCCGUGGUAGUGGAAUGCCCUCCUUCCGCCACAGGCUCAUAGCGGCGUCCCACCUGCCGCGGCGCAUGUGGGCAAGCCAUCCAGAAACUUCCCCCACGCAAUAAAGCCGUUCCGAAGCCGGCCCCAGGAUCCGAUGGUGUGAGCACUUCGCGCACGCGCUGGCAGGCACAGAGGUGACACAGUGUAUCGCAUCGACACAAGGCAUCCAGAGGGCGGCAGACCAAGGGCGAUGGCCAGAAAAGGCGCGAAGGGCUCCCGUACCGAUCGGCCCCACAGCGCAUGUGUGCGAAGAGCACGUGGAGACGGUGCACCAGCACCGUCGCAGCGAUAAUCCGCCAAGUCACAUGCCGGAGCGUAUAGAUGCGAAGGUGGCGCGGAUGGACUAUCCGUAUGGGAUAGCGAAAGCAGCUCAGCGGCAACACUUACCGACACACUCACAUACACAUACUCCCAUCCCGUCUUUCCGGCUCCUGUGGUUCGUUGAACUGCCUCUUGGCUUCCCUUGGUCGCUCCUCUCAUCCUCCGAUAUCGCGUCGACGUCGACUUCUUUAUCCAUUUUCUUAGCGCGUGCGCACGCAUACAUACGUUUUUGUUUUGCACCCCCAUUCUUUUCGUUUUCCGUGACGAUGGUGAUGCGCCCUCGUGGAUGCACAGGAUCCAUGCGACUCAUGACCGUUUUCAAUGAC